AAUUGUACUCAUUUUUUUCAUUUCACCUUCUUGUUUCCACAUUCCCUUUUUCUCAGAAAGUGAUGUUAAUAAGCCUUCUAUCACUGUCUAACUCACAGGGACCCACUGUUAACAUCCAAGAGAGGGCAGAACAAAGAAUAAGUUUGUUGCCAACCCUUGUGGUUAUUUCCACAGAGACUUAAUAAACCGCUCAAUAAAAGGCAAUUUAGAGAAAUAAAGAAGCUGUGUAAACAAAUGUCUUGUUGAUCAGUGAACAUUAAUGUAUCUUCUCAUUCAAUAAUUUGCUUUAGAAUCCACCUAAGAAAUACUGCACCCUAUCUUUUAAUGCUUAGGAUAUUUGAUUAUUUGACAAAAGAAACACAUAAUCUAUGCAUUGAUUAACAUAUUUCAUAUAUCUAAUUCAAAGCUUAUCACAAAAGCUCACCACCUCAGUUUCAAUAAUUUCUAUAAAUAAUCCACUAACAAAGUACUUACUGAAUGUAUUUAUUUAUGUGAUAGGCUGGAGAUACAACUAUGAAUAAGGCACACCAAACUCACAGCUCUCCUGUAGCUUAAAGUUUAGUGAAGGAGACUGGCAAUAAACAAAAUAAAAAAGUAGAUUUAUGGCAUUUUAGAAAGUGAUAUGGGAAAAAUAAAGCAGUGAAAGGGGAUAGGGUACUACAAUUUUAAAAGGGAAGGUGAGAAAACAUCUCACUGAGAAGAUGGAAUUUGAGAAAACAACACCUUUGUUCAAAGCUAAAGUGAGCCAUACCAACACCUGGAGAAGAACACUCCAGCAAGAGUUUAUCCAACAUCUCUUAUAUAUCUCUGAGAUCCCAAUGUGUCUUGUUCCUGCUCUGUGUGGGCUCUGAUUGAUUUCACUUCUUUUAUUCUGCCCCAGGGCUUCCCAUUGAUAGUACUAUAGACUCGUGAGCACUUAAACCCACACAUGUGCAAGUUGGAAGGGCAUGGAAGUGCAAGUUGGAAGUUUAUCCACGUAGAUAAACUUCAACCAAUGCAAGAGAAGAUCAUCUGGUUGAGCUCUUCUUCCUUUGUGUUCCCCAGGAACACUCAAGGUUGCUCAAGAGUGUAUGCCAGUGAACUGAGCAGCUAACUGCAGUAACUGGAAGCAGGCGCAAUAACGUGUCCUUGCCCUGGUUCUUCCUCCUUCCCUGCGUCAUUCUUCUUGCCCUUCUCACCUGUGCCCUGGGAUUGAACUCCCUGAAAACAUCACAUAAGCUCUAUGCCUCCAUUUCUGGGUAGCACAUGCUGAGGCACAAAUUGGAAAAGAAGUGCAAAAUCCUCAGAUGGAUAUGUUUUUGGCAUGCUAAAGAACAGCAAGAAGGCCACUGUAGUAAGAUCAAACAGAGCAAGGGGGAUGAUAUAAUAGAAUUUUGUCCAGAGGUAACGGAGGACCCAUCAUGUAGGGCCUUAUAGACCUUAACAGAACUUUGUCUUUGGUUCUAUUUGAGAUGAGAAGUUGUUGACAUCAUCUGCAUUAUGAUUUAACAGGAUGACUCUGGGCACUGUGUUAACAAGAGACUGAAGGGGACAAGAGUAGAAAUGGAUAACCAGUUUGGAGUCUACUGUAGCAAUUCUGGUAACAGAUGAUGACGUCGGCCAGUAACAGCAGAAGUGAAAAUAUGUGGUAGAUUAUGGGUAUAUUGUGAGGAUAAAGAUAUUUUGCCCUUUUGGAAACUGAAGAUAAAACAGAAAAAGAAAAGAAUUUUAAGAUAUGUUAAUCUAGCAAAACUAACAUAAGAAUGGCCACCGUGAAUUUCAUGAAAUUUUGCCACAGAGCAAUACUAAAAACUGAAUGAUUGUGCCUUUUUCCAUAUUUUAAUUAAAACUGAAAUGAAAAUACUCACUGUCGGAAAGUAAAGAAAUUAAGCCAUA